rnacentral:misc_RNA from 1 species
GAUGAAGAACGCAGCGAAAUGCGAUACGUAAUGCGAAUUGCAGAUUCAGCGAGUCAUCGAGUCUUUGAACGCACAUUGCGCCCCCUGGUAUUCCGGGGGGCAUGCCUGUCCGAGCGUCAUUGCUGCCCUCAAGCACGGCUUGUGUGUUGGGCCUCCGUCCUCCUCCCGGGGGACGGGCCCGAAAGGCAGCGGCGGCACCGCGUCCGGUCCUCGAGCGUAUGGGGCUUCGUCACCCGCUCUUGUAGGCCCGGCCGGCGCUUGCCGACACAUCAAUCUUUUUUCCAGGUUGACCUCGGAUCAGGUAGGGAUACCCGCUGAACUUAAGCAUAUCAAUAAGCGGAGGA